CUAAGAAUAUUCCGCAAUGGGCGAAAGCCUGACGGAGCGACGCCGCGUGGACGAAGAAGGCCGAAAGGUUGUAAAGUCCUUUUGCGGGCGAAGAAUAAGCUUAGGAGGGAAUGCCUGAGCGAUGACGUUAGCCCGUGAAUAAGCCCCGGCUAAUUACGUGCCAGCAGCCGCGGUAACACGUAAGGGGCGAGCGUUGUUCGGAAUUAUUGGGCGUAAAGGGCGCGUAGGCGGUCGCGCAAGUCCGGCGUGAAAGGCAGGGGCUCAACCCCUGGACUGCGUUGGAAACUGUGGGACUAGAGUCAUGGAGGGGGAGUUGGAAUUCCUGGUGUAGGGGUGAAAUCUGUAGAUAUCAGGAAGAACACCGGUGGCGAAGGCGAACUUCUAGCCAAUGACUGACGCUGAGGCGCGAAAGUGCGGGGAGCAAACAGGAUUAGAUACCCUGGUAGUCCGCACCAUAAACGAUGUGCACUAGGUGUCGGGGCGAGCGUCUCGGUGCCGGAGCGAACGCGAUAAGUGCACCG
rnacentral:rRNA from 1 species